rnacentral:rRNA from 1 species
AUGGCUGCCAUGUGGUAUCCGAUCAUCGGUCUCCUCCUUCUCAUGCUCCCACUCGGGCCCUCCUCCGCCAUCAAGUUCCCACUCAUAGGCAACGUCUACCCUGAUGGCCACUUCUAUGCUACGUUGCAGAUUGGUAAGCCCUUGAAGCCCUACUUCCUGGACAUCGACACUGGCAGCAACCUCACUUGGCUGGAGUGUGAGCACCCAGAUCACGGCUGCAAGGGCUGCAACCAGAGGACACCACACCCAUAUUACAAGCCAGCAGCUCAUAACUUGAUGGUGAGAUGUGACAGCUGGAUAUGUGCUCAACUGCGCAAAGACCAGCCUGGUAGUCCUCAAUGCCCCAACAGCGAUCCACAUCGAUGCCACUAUGAUAUCCAAUAUGUCUCCGGGAGGUCAAAAGGCGACCUUGCCAACGACAUGAUCUUUAUCAAUAGGAGAGAUGAUAUGAACUACGUUUUCGGAUGUGGAUACGAGCAGGAGGAGCCAUUAGAGCAGCCAUCGCCACCGGCGGUAGAUGGCAUCCUUGGACUCGGGAGGGGAAGCGUAGGAUUUGUCGCUCAACUCAAGGCACAAAAGAAGAUAGUCAGGAAUGUCAUUGGACAUUGCCUCAGCAUCCAUGGAAAUGGGAACCUGUACAUUGGGGACUUCAGGCUGCCCCCAGGCGACGUCACCUGGGCACCCAUGAGUACAUCUUUGCCUUACUACUCACCCGGCCCAGCAACACUGCUCUAUGACGAACAGCCGAUAAGAGGUAGUCCAGCAUUCACGACAGUAUUUGACAGUGGAGCCACCUACACCUACAUGCCUGGCCAGAUAUACAAUGGCCUUGUUUCAAAGGUUCAAGACACCCUCCACAAAUCAUCACUUAAAGAGGUGAAGGAUCGUGCUCUGCCUCAAUGCUGGAAAGGAAAAAUGCCAUUCAGAUCUGUCGACGAUGUGAAGAAUGAAUUCAAGUCACUGUCGCUAAAAAUUACCCAUGCCCGCGGCACCAGCAACCUGGACAUCCCUCCUGAAAACUACCUCAUCGUGACGAAAGACGGGAAUGCGUGCUUGGCCAUCCUCGAUGGCUCGUCGGAUCGUGUUCUGAGGCAUCUCAUCUUAAUUGGAGAUGCUAUGAUGCAGGAUCUGUUUGUGAUAUAUGACAACGAGGUCAACCGUAUCGGAUGGGUCCGUGCACAGUGCGACAGGAUGCAGGACCUUGAGUCUGGCAUCAUUGAUUCACGUCUCUGA